GUGAGACUUUGCCGCGUACGCGUUUCCACAGAAACAACGAAACGGUUAAAUACAAAACGGAUAUAAAAAGUUUUUUUUUUUCAAACUUUUUUUGUUUAUUUACAAAUGUUGUUUAUAUGUAUAUUAAAGUGUUAGAAUAAAGAUUAAAUUCAAGAAAAAAGUAAUAUAGUAUUACUACAACACAAAUGUGUAUGUAUGUGUGUGUGGGAAUAACCUCAGUAAACAAAGGAUUUUCUAAGUUUUUUAAUGGAAAUAAAGGCAGGCUUGUAAUCGAAAUAAAUAAAAGUUUUGUUUUUAUGUUUAGAUGUGAAUGUUUCCGUAAAAAGUUAUGUCUAUGAUGAGAUGAGUGCCUGAAUGUGUGUGUCGUAAAUUGUUUCAUUCAUCAAGUUCCUGUCUGUUGGAUCUACGGAUUAUUUUGUGAUAAAAACGGAAGUGAUUUGUUACGGAAACAUAUUUUCGCUGCUGCUCUCCAAACGGAAGUUAACGAUUUUAGCAACAAAAAUUCUGGAGAAAAAAAACAGAAACAUUUUGCAACAUGUUCAAAAUCAUUUUUUAUUCAGUGACUUGCAAAUAAUUGUAAUUGUGUUUUUUUUUUCGCUUUAAGUG